rnacentral:lncRNA from 1 species
ACGGCCAGCUGCAAGAAGCUCACACCAAGAACCCCUCUCCUGAUCUCCUCCCCAUCCUCCUCGUCGCACCGUCGCCAUUGUUGCUGCCUCGCUACAACGCGGCGUCGAUCACGAAGAUGCUUCUGCUGAGGGCGCCGACGCCGUUCGCGUACGCGAAGGUGGAGAAGGUGGACGCGGAGGAGGCGCGGCACCUCAGGGCGCAGUACCUGAUCCAGAAGGUGCUGGAGGAGAAGAGCCCGCGGUCCCGGCCGCCGGCGCUGGCGCGGGUGAAGGCGAGGAUCGGCGUGCGGCUGAAGAAGCUCAGGCUCGCCGUCCGGAGCGUCAGGGUGCGGGCGUGCCGGACCCUGCAGAGGCACCUCAGGAACCUGAGGAGGCUCAUCGCGCUCGGAGGUCAGCAGGGAUCAGGGGAGCCUUCUUGAUGAUGCCUCGCUUCUGAAAGAAAGAAAGUCCCAUGUUUUUUUUUUGGUGUUCUUGUGUGGAUCAAAGCAAUGGCUGAUAACAUCUGAGCUUUUGCUGAGAGGUUUGGGAUCACAAUCUGUAUCUGUUUAAUUAGGUGGUGGAAGGAAUCAUAUACAUACAAAAAAAUGUGUAAUAGUAGUAGCAAUCAAGCAAUGCCACUGUUCAGGUUUUGCAUUUUUAUGCCAUGCGGUGUUCUGGAAUCCUGCUCUGCCAGUUCAGCAGAAGUCAGCGAUUUCUUAUUUCUCCACUAAUUUCUUUCCUUUAUAAUAUAGUUUUUGCUAGUUUCUGGUACAUUGUAUCAUGGUCUGAUCAAUCUUUUUCAAUAAUCCAGCAAUCUCUGUAUCCAAGCAUCCUCCUUUUCUGGAUCUGCUUUUUUUUUGUGUAUUUGUGUGUAAGUGAACUCUGCAGUAUGGUUUGCUAUCCACGCUGAUCUGGAGCAGGAUUGACAUGAUCGAUAAAAAAAUCUCUCACCUUACCUACUCUUCUUCUAUGCAACUCCGAAUCUUCAGUUAUUUACUUGCGGAUAAAUU